GUGAAGGCACUAUAGUAAUGUAGUAGUCUAAUGAUCAAAGGUCAAACUGUGAUUACAUACAAAAAUGACAAUGAAACGAAUAUGUUUUGAAACCUAGAAAACAUGCAACUAUAUCACGCAAGUCAUUACUCUGGAAAAGAAUUGUUUUGUUGCUACGUCCAAACAGGUGCAUCACUUGUGCCCUCGGAAAUACAUGUACACUUUCUGCAGCACCCACAAGCUAAGCAAAACUUCCAAGCAGAAGAAACCAAAUCCAAUCAAAUAAAAUAUCCCAACCAGCACAUGGUCAGAGAAGACAUCAAUUGCUGCAAGGAUACCCGUUAAGGAUAAUCCUUGAAAUACAAUGGGAGGAGCAAUAGCAGCAAGUAUGCAAAAUCCAAUGUGGAACAAGUAGAACAUGAAAAACCAUCCAAACUUCAAUGCACUGUCGGUCCUCAUUGCGUUAUACAGAGGCCUGUACCACAAAAUGUACGAAAGGGGACAUCCCAUUAAAGCAUAUAUUACAGCCAGGAAAAAGAUUUUAACACCGCCACCCUUAAUCCAACAGAUAGUCACGGCAAGAACAUUGAACGCCAGACAAAAAACAAUGCCUAACCAGCUUGCAAAAGCCAAAUACUGCAGCCGCUGAG
rnacentral:misc_RNA from 1 species